GCCUCUUCUAAUGCCUUCAGCACUUUCUGAUCAAGAAAUUUAUUAUUCUCCCCCCUUUUUUUCUUACUCUGAAGUUACAUGGUUACAAUUUCUUCAGAAAUGGGCUUAAAAGACUUGCUCUGCCCUUAUGCACUCAUUAAAUAUCAAAAUCCUCACCAAAACUGCCAUGGUAUUAGAGCAAUGUAAGAGCCAUGUGACUCACCAACAAUUCUAUUUCUCUGUUUCUCUAACAACUGCAGUCAGUGACAUAGGUGCCAUUCGAAAUUCUUUCUUCAUCUGCUAUAGGCUGAUAAGAUCAAGUAAAGCAGCUUUAUUCACUUCGUGCAAUCCAACUUCAUUAAAAAGAGGAAAUGUAAAAGGAUCAGUUCAUACUAAAAAUACCUUAGUGGUACUUCAUCACUUGUGUUUAAAUAUAAUCUUUGAAAAAAGCAGUAGCAGGUUCUAUAAGAGAGAAGAAAGAGAAAGAUAUUCCUGUUGAUGAAAAUGAUGACAGAUAAAAUGUGUUUGAAGGCUAUAAAAGCUCCUUACAUCUGGAGCAGCUGGCAGCCUGGGAUUGGACUCUAAGGGGAGCUCAUAGAUAUCUAAUUUGAGCAAUGGUUAAAAGUAAACUUGGGAACAGCUGAUUCAGUGCAGUUAUCUCUGGCUCUGGGAAGUUUUUGUGAUGUUCAGAGGCUGGCACAUAAAAAUCCACAUGACACAUAUUUGCUGAGUCUAAUAUCCUUAUGAAAAUGAACAGGGAUGAUUUACAGGAAUAUGUUAGACACAGAUGUUCUUAUAUAAACCAGGAUAUAACAUGAUAUAGAAGGUAAUGAGCCAUUAAAAUGAGCAGAAAUACUUGCUAAUGUUUCAAUAAUUACGUACAUUAAAAUACACAAAUAGCAUACAAAUAUCAGUGGCGUAGAAAUCAAUUGGAUUAGAUAAAUUGUUAGUCAUUCAGCAAAUAAUUAUGGCGUACCACAAAUAAGGCAUCUUGCUACAGUUCACAAGACACAGAAUCUCUGUACCUCAAGUGUAUUUCAGGAUCACACACCAAGGAUACUUUCUCUAAAAUGAAGACACCUAGUACUGUAAUAAAAGCAGAGAUGGGGAGGACCA
rnacentral:lncRNA from 13 species